AGACUGCAGGCUGCAACUCGCCUGCACGAAGUCGGAAUUGCUAGUAAUCGUAGGCCAGCAUACUACGGUGAAUACGUUCCCGGGCCUUGUACACACCGCCCGUCAAACCAUGAGAGUUGGCAACACCCGAAGUCGGUAGUCUAACCGCAAGGAGGACGCCGCCGAAGGUGGGGUUGAUGAUUAGGGUUAAGUCGUAACAAGGUAGC
rnacentral:rRNA from 1 species